AUGGAUGUCCCCAUGCUGGUGGCACUCAGUGUGUGGUUGUGUCCCCAUGGUGGCACUCAGUCCAUGGCCUUGUCCCCAUGGUGGUGGCACUCAGCACAUGGCCGUGUCCCCAUGGUGGUGGCACUCAAUGUGCGGCUGUGUCCCCAUGGUGGCACUCAGCACAUGGCUGUCCCCAUGCUGGUGGCACUCAGUGUGUGGUUGUGUCCCCAUGGUGGCACUCAGUCCAUGGCCCUGUCCCCAUGGUGGUGGCACUCAGUGUGUGGCCAUGUCCCCAAAAUGCUGACACUCAGUGUGUGGCUGUGUCCCCAUGGUGGCACUCAGUCCAUGGCCGUGUCCCCAUGCUGGUGGCACUCAGUGUGCGGCCGUGUCCCCAUGGUGGUGGCACUCAGCAUCAUGGUUGUCCCCAUGGUGGUGGCACUCAGUGUGUGGUUGUGUCCCCAUGGUGGCACUCAGUCCAUGGACCUCUCAGUGUGCAGCCGUGUCCCCAUGGUGGCACUCAGCAUCAUGACUGUCCCCAGGGUGGUGGCACUCAGUGUGCAGCCGUGUCCCCAUGGUGGCACUCAGCACAUGGCUGUCCCCAUGCUGGUGGCACUCAGCAUCAUGACUGUCCCCAUGGUGGUGGCACUCAGUGUGGGGCCAUGUCCCCACAAUGGUGGCACUCCAUGUGUGGCUGUGUCCCCAUGGUGGUGGCACUCAGCCCCUGGUCGUGUCCCCAUGGUGGUGGCACUCAGUGUGUGUUCAUGUCCCCAAAAUGGUGGCACCCCAUGUGUGGCUGUGACCCCAGGGUGGUGGCACCCAACACAUGGCCGUGUCCCCAUGGUGGCACUCAGCCCCUGGUCGUGUCCCCAUGGUGGUGGCACUCAGUGUGUGGCUGUGACCCCCUGGUGGUGGCACUCAGCCCCUGGUCAUGUCCCCAUGGUGGUGGCACCCAACGUGUGGCCAUGUCCCCAUGGUGGUGGCACUGUGUGGUUGUGUCCCCAUGGUGGUGGCACUCCAUGUGUGCUUGUGUCCCCAACAUGGUGGCACCCAACGUGUGGCCAUGUCCCCAUGGUGGUGGCACUCAACCCAUGGCCAAUCCCAGCUGUGGUGACACCGACCCCACAGCCAUGUCCCCAUGUUGGUGACCCUUGGGCUGUGCCACCCACCGUGCCCCCAAUGUCCCCACCACAGUGCCACCACGUCUGUGCCACUGUCCCCUCCACAGUGCCAUGUCUGUCCCCAAUGUCCCAACGUGUGGCCAUGUCCCCAUGGUGGUGGCACUCAACCCAUGGCCAAUCCCAGCUGUGGUGA
rnacentral:lncRNA from 1 species